GAUGAAGAACGCAGCGAAAUGCGAUACGUAAUGUGAAUUGCAGAAUUCAGUGAAUCAUCGAGUCUUUGAACGCACAUUGCGCCCCCUGGUAUUCCGGGGGGCAUGCCUGUCCGAGCGUCAUUGCUGCCCUCAAGCACGGCUUGUGUGUUGGGCCUCCGUCCUCCUCCCGGGGGACGGGCCCGAAAGGCAGCGGCGGCACCGCGUCCGGUCCUCGAGCGUAUGGGGCUUCGUCACCCGCUCUUGUAGGCCCGGCCGGCGCUUGCCGACACAUCAAUCUUUUUUCCAGGUUGACCUCGGAUCAGGUAGGGAUACCCGCUGAACUUACGCAUAUCAAUAAGCGGAGGA
rnacentral:misc_RNA from 1 species